rnacentral:tRNA from 1 species
AACUAUUUACUCGGAGUAGGGACUGUCUUGAAAACAGACCCAAAGCGUUCAACUCGCUUAAUAGUUU